AAAUAAGAUAAUUCUUAUAUAUAUUUUGUUGUUAUCUGAAAACAAUAUUUUUAUUAUAAAAGUUAAAAAGAUACAAAAAAAUUAAUUAAAUAUUAUUCAAGAAAAAAACAUUUAUAUAAACAUAUUUUCUAAACUAUUUCUAAGAUAUGAGUGUUUUAAAAAAUUUAACACGGGAUGUUUAGAACACGGGAUUAUACUUAUGAGAGAGUGGCUCGGGAGUGGUCUAGGAGAUGGGUCUAAUGGGCUGCGAAUUGUUGAAUUUUUUUUUUAAUUGCAAGCCUACUUCGUGAUGACCUGGCAUAUAGGUUGGUCAUGAAUAUUUGUGCACAUGUGGAUAGGCUUAGGAAGCAAUGAUUUAGCUCCUUUUAUAUAGUAGGAUAAAAGAAGUAGAGAGGGCACCUCGAACCCAGGUUUACUGAAUAACUCUUCUAACGCAUAGCCACUGCUACCAACACAAUUUUUAACGGAAGAAAAUGUUGGUCAAGCAAAAGAAAGAUACCUGUUAUACAUGCAAGCACAUCCAUUUAUUAUUGUAACCAAUUGAUAUGGGCGAGUGAUUUCUUAUUGUUGAAGAUUUUUUUUUGUUAUUCUAUACAACGAAACAAAUCAUCUCAAGCAUCAACCCUAUCACUGUUUCACUUGGUCACAAUUCCAUUAAUUUCCAAAGAGUCCUUAUAAGAAAGACAACUGCUUAAAAGUAGCAGAAAAACUGUUAUUCUCGCAAACUUAAUCUUAAUCUUAACCAGCAUGGGUAUAAUUAAUCGGUAGAAUACGAAAUUUUUUCAUAAAUAGUAUACACACAAAAAAUUGUGCUACAUCAUCAUAAUGUUAGUUUCUUUGAGAAAAGGAUCCCCCCUUCAUGUGUUGUUAAUUCUACAACUACCACUUACAUAAAUAUAUGGUGUUUCCAUUAAUCAACUACCCAAAUUAAUGGAAUUGUGGACAGCCUUGAUUUGAUGGAAAAUUUAAAUGAAACUAUUAAAUCCCAACCAACAUAGUGGUGUGUGCAAUUUAUGGGAGAGUUAAUAAGAAAUACAUAGAUAGAACUGUUAGUGAAAAUAUAAGCAAAAUAUCCAAAUGUCUAGGAUCAAAUUCUCAGAUGGACCACAUGGGUAAAAAAAAAUCUGAUUUAGCCCUCUUUUUUUUUACAUUAAAAUUUAAAUACAAAACAAAGGUAAAUAACUAAAAAACAAAAAGACAUCAACUUAUUUACUAUCCGUGCCACUAUUAUUCGACCCGUAAUUUGACCCAAUAACCCGACCCGGUUUUAACCCAAAUUCUUUUUUCUUCUUCUUCCUCUUCCUCCAUUUAUGUUUCUUUAAUUUCUUCACUUAAAAGCAAAAUCAAAAUUUUUAUUCAAAUAUUCGCUGAUUUUCUUUUUCUUAUCUCAAAUCGAUCAACCUAUAGUCAUAUUUAAUCAAUUCUAUCUUAUUCGAAAUCAAAUUUAGUGUUUUAUGUUCGAGUUCAUGGUGAAGAAGAACACAUAAUAUUACUAGUACAACUAGUACAGCUCAAACUAGUACAAUUUAAACUAGUAUAACAACUAGUACAAGUCAAACCAGUAUAACUAGUACAACUAGAACUAGUAUAACAUGUACAAUUUUGUAAUUAAUAUGGUGAUAUUUUUUUUUUGUUUUCAGUGUGAAUGAUGCUAUAAGAUAUAAUAAUGUGGAACUAGUGAGACAUGUUGGUCUAAUCAUUCUCCGAUUGAAUGUGUCAAAAUACAUAAAUAGUUUAUUUUCAGUAAUAGUUGAUUUGAUAAUGAUUUGUUUACAAGUUGUAUUAGUUAUACAAGUUGUACCAUUUCAAAAAAAAAUUCAACAUCAUAUUUUUGGUCACAAAGCCGAAGAAAGUAGCCUUAGAGCCGGAAAGUUGCAGUAGAAAGACAUUUAGAAGAGUAUGCAAAAGAUUAUGUAAAAAUCAUCAUUAGUUCGAAAAGGAUGCAUACGCAUUCAUGAAAAUAAGAUAAGAAAUUGACCAAUUGUAAAUACAUAUAGAAAAAGGAUAUGGUAAACUUGCAUAUUUCGACAUGAAGAGAUAACAUAUCAAUAUUUAUUGUAUUUCCAUCAAGAGGAUGAAAGCCUAUAAAACAAAAAAUUUAUAAGAAAAUAAUGAAUUAUGUAUGACAAGUAUAUCAUAAUCAAGAGGAUCAAAUAACUUUUUAUUCUUAUAUUUUUUUUAAAUUAACAAAGUUCACUCAGUAUAUCAUAAUACUUUUAAUUAAAAAAUAUUGUAUAAACAAAUAAUUGACAAGUGAUAAUGAUAUAUAUGAAUGGGACAACUAGUACAACUACUCAAUGUUAGUGUUCAACCACAAUGUUUAAAACAUGAUACACAUUUAAAACGUGAUACACAUUUAAGAUAAUACUAAAUAAAUUAACAAGUAGUUGUACCAGUUUUCUAGUUAUAUCGACGAUAUAUAGUUGUACUAGUUUUUCAGUUAUACUAGUUUGUGAAUAGUUGUAUUUUGGCAGUGAAAUCGAAAAAUAUUAGUUGUACCACAUAAUAAAUACAAUUACCUUAGUUGUACCACUUAUUUGUGUUUACAUGACAUUGUCCGGUUACAAUGAAAUCAUCCAUUUCGUAAAAAUACAUUUCAUGUAUGUUUUUCAAAAUUUAUGUGGAUAAAUAAGUUAAUAAACCUUAAAAGUAUAAUGUAGAUCAUGUAAACUUAUGGAAUUGUGUAAUUAUUUUAUUUUUAUUUUCAAAACUUCAAAAAAAUUAAGAAAAACUUUUUGAGGACGUACCAAUUGGGAUAUGUGAUUGUUUUUCUCAUAUGGAAUACCAAAUUAGUUUUAUCAAUUUUUGAAAUGUCAAAGUUGUACAUGUUGUACCACUAAUACUUGUCUACUAUAUAAUAAAAAUUAUAUCAAUUGUUUAUAUAUUUAGUUUUAGGGGUUUUACCAAUAUUUUCACAUCUUAACUUUGUAAAAAUAUGUUUGAUGUUUGUUUACAUUAGUUGUAUAAUGUAAUAAUAUAACAAAAUAUUAAAAACCCUUAAAUAAAAUAGAUGAAAUUUUAUCACCAUAAAUAAAUUAAGAUAUCUUUUUAUUUAUUUCAUAUGAAAAACGUGAUUUAUUAGUCGUGUUAGUUUCAACAGUUUUAUAUUAUACAUGAAUUACGGAUAGCUUAGCCCGUAGCGCUAGGAAGAAAACGUCUUUUGUAGUUCACAUGGAUCAAGAUCUCCCAGUUUGGUUCACAAAGUCUAUAUGAGUCUGUAAAGUGGAUGACAAAAAAUAUAUAUAUAUAUAUAUAUAUAUAUAAUACAUGAAUUAUAUAUAAUUUAUAUACCAAUUAUAUCAGUUAUAAUAGUUAUAUCAUUUAUUAACAUAUUUAAUUGUACGAGUUAUACUGAUUAUAUACAUCUAAAUGAGAAAAAAGAAAUCGUGUGGUCGUAAUUGAAGAUGAGAAAAAUGAUCCUAACGUUGAAGAAAGAAGAGGUGGGUCCAUGCCAAAAGAAAGAAGGAGAGGAGAAUGAUCGUGUGGUUACGAUUAAAAGAUAUGUGAGAUGAUCUAGUGGUUGAGAGUGCAUUUUCAUUAAUGGCAAUAUUGUCAUCCCUCUCUCCUAAAGUUCAUCACUGUAGUGCGGGCCCCACGUGUCGUGGCGGCCCGCGAUUGGUCUAGUUUUUUUUUUUAAAAAAAAUCAAAAAGAAAAAGAAAAAAAUUUAAUAAUAAAAAAUAGAAAAGAUGAACCCCAAGAAGAGGUUCAUUGUAGAUGCUCUUAGGUCUAUUUCAGAAUUUUGUCCAAAUGUUUACGAACUUGUGCUGUUAGAUUUCUUUUUCAUUUGGUUAAUUGAGCGAUCCACCGAAAUCUGUUUUUUUUUUCUUUCUUUUUUUGAACAACACAGAAAUCUGUUUCAAAACUCAGAUAUGAGGAGGAUUUAAACUUACACUUCUCGUAAUAAUAAAACACAAUUAAACCAACAAACAAAAAACAUCUUCAAAUGCAGCUUUACGGUUUCGAAGAAGGAACAAAUCUAAAAACUGAACACACCUAAUUAAUAUGUUUAUUUUUAACAGAAAUAGUUACUAAAAAGCUCUUUAGAUCAAUGGAAAAAUUAGAAGAUAAAUCUAAAUUUUAUGGUCUCUAUAUUUGUUAGAGACUUGUAUGUCUUGUUGUUAGAUGGAGAUUGAUCGGUGUCGAGUAACUUCAUUAAAAACAACUUUUUUAUAAAGUUCACUUUAAAAAAUUGAAAUGAAUUGAGAUGAAAAAAAGAGAGAAUUGAGAUGGUGAACAUUGUUAGUUUUAUUUUUUGUGUGCUCAUUAACAUUAUUGUUCGUACAGUCUCUACUCUCUAAGUUCCCACCGGUGAGAUAUUGAAUUAUAGUUGAACUAAAACAAAAGUUACAAUUUGAUGUAAUUCGUAGUAAAAACUAUAUGAUAAAAACUGUAAAUCUACUGUAAAAAUAUGAGUUAUUAUAUUUUCAAAAUCAUUGACUGGCAAUAUUUUUGACGUAUAAAUUGCAAUAUGUAUUAUUAAUCCUAAACAAUAAUCAAUAAACCCAAAUAUUAUAAUAUUUUUGAUUGGCUGUAUUUUCUAAAAUGGGUAUUUAAGAUAGUGUAUCUUAAGCAAUUUCUCAAAAAAUAAAUUAACUGCUAAUAUAUUGAAUUUUGUUUGAUAUUGAAUUAUCAGUUAAGUUAUCAACUAUUUUAUAAAAAGUAAUUCAAAAUUAUAACUCAAGGAUAAUACAUUAUAACUCAAAUUUUAAUUCAAAAAAUUAAAACUAAUUCAUGGCUAAUAAUAUUUUGAGUUAUAUUCCUAACUCAAACUUACUCAAUUCUAGCUUAUAUUAUCAUCGAUCGAAGCUAAAGUUUUCUCUUUUAAAAAAUAGCAACUUCCAAUAAACUAUCUACAUUCAAUGGUGUUAUUUCUAAAUAUUUAGGUAUUCGUCGUGUUCUUCAAAAAAAAAAGUUACAAACAAAAAAACUGUGAAAAGUCUUAAAAGCCAAAAUUUCAGGUGACAACGAAAAGCGAUAAAAACAAGUUGAUAAAAAAGAGAGUUUAAAAGCUAGUUUCAGGUGAAAUAAAAAAGCUGAAACUUGUCAGUACCAGUUGGUGCCUUUUAUCCUGCUUUAAGUAAUAAAAAGGGACUAAAAGACUCCCAGUUUUAGGCUCCAAAUGGUAAAAGCGGAUUCAGCGGUGCGGGACAAGCGGUUUGACUGCGGUGCGGUUUUGACAGUUAUAAAAAUGUAUAAAUAUAUGAUAUAUACAGAGAUUUUUGUUACUGUUAACUGCGCUGCGGUGCGGGACGAAUAUUACCAUUCGAAGCCUUAGACUCUUCCUCGAUGGACUGUAUAUGAAGUUAGGUGCAUCUCUAAGAAGAUCAUAAAUUUAAGGGAAUCAAUCACCUUUAAAAUAAAUGGCUAAAUGGAUACUACUGAUUUAACAGUGACUUUAAAACUUUUAAAAAGAAUUCUUAUUUUUAUUUUCAAUAUUUUCAAUAAUUAACUAGAAUUAUUAUUUUUUUCAAAAACUAAUAAUGCAUGCCGCUUAAAGUAUUAAAAUAAAAUAUUUUUAAAAUUGUAUUACGUGAUUAAAUGUGACCACAAAUUCUAAAUAACUGCUUUCUUAACAUCUAUUAUACACACAUAUAUAUAUAUAUAUAAUUAUAAAAAUAAAAAUGAAAUAAUAAAUAGUGUUCUGAAACUGUAUUAUUCAGUUCUUUAAGAUUUGAAGGAUUAUCUGAAACAAUAUAAAAUACCUUGUAUGUUCACAUAAUCUUUUUCAGAGCUCAUCUCGACCCAAGUAAAGUCUCAAGUCUCAUUAUCGAUCUUUCUUUUUGCAGAAUUUUAAAUAAAAAGUAGUAUCGUUAUAGAAUUUUUUUUUCAAAAAUAGUAUCGUUUUAUGUUUUUAGUGCAGAAUUUUAAAUAAAUAUUCAUUUUGACCUCAUUAUAUUAAUAUAUUAAUUAGAGAGGAAAAAAUAUUUGGGGUCAGAUUGGGGUUUGGCUAUUGAGACUUUAUAUUAAAUCUAAAGUCUUUGAAGUCAAAUAUUUAUCAAACAAACCUCAAAACUUCCUUUAAUAUUUCAAAUCACAAUAACUGAAUUUACUCGCCUUUACUCUUCCCGUAAAUUGUUACUAGCUUUUGAUCUGCGCGCCCGAGCGGGUGUAUCUUCUAUAUAAUUAUAUGUUUUUGUUUGUUGUAAGAAAUAUAACUGUGUUUCAUAUAUUAUCUAUUGGUGUAUCUUUGUAAUUUUGUUUAGUGUCCAUUGCUUAACUAUCAGGUUGUAUACUUAUUUUAUUGUAUCUUUUUUUUUUAAUUUUAGUUGGUAACAUUUGACAAUAAAAUGUUUAAUAAUAGAGUAUUUUGUUGAGAAAAUGUGUGUUGGAUAUAAAUUUACUAUAUAUGUAGAUUGUUAAAAUUUAUAUUUAAAUAAUUAAUAUUUAUUUUUUAAAUAAAAUAUUUAGACAGCAACAAUAUUAACUAUUGUAAAGGUAAGGAAAGAAAUAUUUUUAUAAACAAUCUAUAGCAAUUAUAUAUAGCUAUACAAAAUUAAUAAAUUGAAUUGGGCCCUUUUGUUAUGAAUUAUAAAUAAGAAAAUCAUAUUUAAGAAAAAUGAUAUUGGACCUUAUACAUUCAAGGAAGCCCAUUAAACUAUUAUUUCCAAGAAAAAAAACAGAAAAAUGCCUUGUACGACUAUUUUUUUUGUUCCCAUAGAAAAUUCUGUUUCUUCAACCUAUCUCUUCGUCUUUGCCGUCCGUUUUCCUGGCGAGAACUGCACAAACAGUUGUGAAGUUUUCACUUAAAGGAGAACCAGAGUCUAGAUCUAUUGAUGACUACUCGAGAUUUUGGGAUACAGAGGUCUGUAAUACCAAGAACGUUCAAUCGGUUUAAUCAUGAAGAAACAACAUCAGCCCCUUACAGAUUGGUUAAGAAUCAGGCUGAACUUUGGUUUGUUCGCGGAUCGCAAAGAAUUAUUUCGAGGAUGUGAGAUCUGUAUUCAUUCCUAAGGUAAGUCUAAUCUACGAUAUUCUGUUUAAUAUAAUAGAUUGAUAAUCAAACUAAGAUAAAAUAGAAAUCAAAAAUCUUGAUCUUUAGAGUAGGAUGGAAUUAGUUAACAAAAUAUAGUUCUAAAAUAGACAAACAAUUCAGUAGGGAGAAACAGAGGGACAGGGGACAUAAGUGAUCAAUAGAAAAACUCGGGCAGAUACAUGGUGAAGGAGAGAGAGAUAAGAAUAUGUUGUAACAUCACAUAACAAAGGGAAGGCACACUAACCAUGAAGUAAAUCUUAAAUGGAUGUGUUCUUAUUUAAAUUCAUUGGAACAUCAUUUAAGAGGAAUUGAGCCGAAUGAUUUGGUUUUCACGUUAUGGGGAAAGAGAUAUAUAUAUAGGUAGUGAGUAAAGUUAGGGUUAACGCCACAAAACCAAUUAAGAUGUUGGUAGUUGUGAUUUUUUUAUCAUUAAUAGAGAAAGUACGGAUCGAUUUUGUUCCCAAAAUUGUUUUGCUUGUUAUGGAGUUACCGUAAUCACAGGGUUGUAGAUAUUUAUUGAGUCGAUACUAAACCUGAUUGGCAAGAUUACAAAUAAUAUAAAAAUAUUUUCGUAUUUGAUUAACAUCGCUAUUGUUAUGGAGAAUGCUUAAAAAUAGGAAUAUAUUUGGGCAAGUAUAUUCGUUUAGUAUAUUAUCGACUUGUUUAAGUUACCUUUGAUUAAUUAAUAAUGAUAUAACUUAUGAUCUACAUAUUGAUAUUGUGAGGAUUAAUUGACUCGGCAAUGACAUGGAGUUGUAGCGAUCAAAAUUGGGGUUUUGAUUCUUCAUACCAACAUAAACCAGAAAAUUAUCUAAACCGAUAUUAGAUGUUUAAGUGUAAUUCUGGAAAGCUACGUAGGAGUGUCUCUAUUGACUCUAUAGAUUCAGUAGACAAAUAUGAACUAAGAUAGUAUCACAAUCGAAUUCGAUGUUGUAUGUUUUAGAAUUUAGAAUGACAAUAACUAUGAUUAAGAUGGUUUUGUAAUGUUCUGGUUUACUACUGUUUCUUUAAUUAUAUCUGUUAGUAACUACUUUAAAUUAUUGGUAGGAUAGUCGUAUGAUGCUAAUUAUAAUUGUAUUGUCAUUGGACGGUUUACUAAUACAGAAAACGAUGGUCUUGGUUUACUAAAUAAAUGAAUACGCUGAGUUUUAACUCCAGUGGCAUAGAGUGGUAAUUUUUGUGGAAAAGUCAGGGCUAUAUACAAAGUGUACUUUAGUCUUAAUAGUUUAGAUGUAAAUAGUUUUAAAAAACAACAAUUUAUGAGUUUUUUUUAAGGGACAAUUAGCUUUUUAAAGCCUAAAAAUUGUAAAGCAAAUUUAUUGUAAAGCCAAAGUCAUCAAAGUUGCAAACAAUCGGACUCUUCGUGUGUGAGAGCAUCUACAACCCAUAACACUAUUUUAGUGUUAAAACCACACUAUUUUAAUGUAGUUUCAACACUAAAAACAAAUUCAUCUCCAACCACAACACUAAACUUUACACUAAAAGAUAUUUAUAAUAUUAUAUUUAUUUAAUUUAUUUAAUUUUUCGUUUUUAAUAAUAUAAUUUAUUAAUAAAGUAAGUGAAUAGUGUUUUAGUGGAAUGAAUAGUGUUUUAGUGUGAUGAAUAGUGUUACAUCAAAUUUGGUGUGAAAUUAUACUGUUACACUAAAAUGAUGUGAUUUUUAGUGUUGGGUUGGAGAUGGUUUUGGUGUAAAAUUCCCACUAAAUAGUGUUUUGGAGUUGGGUUGGAGAUGACCUGAGUAAAAGAUACAAUGAUUUUUUAAAUAAUUUUUUAAGAAAAAUUCUUGGGUUCACCCCCUAGGUGAACCUAGAGGUUCACCAACCAAUAGUGGUUGAGUAUUUGAUAUUUGAUAUCUUUUAAAAAAGGAAAUAAAAUUGAAUUUCCAAAUAUGAUAUAAAUUUUUAAAAUAAAAUAAUAAAAAUACAUAAAUAUAGUUACAAAAAAUAAAUAAAUAAAUAUUGUUAAAAUGUUAACAAAAUACUAAAUCCUAUACCCUAAAUUUUAAACUCCAAACCCUAAAUUAUAAACCUUAAAUCUUGGAUAAACCGUAAACCAUUGGAAAAUUUUAAACCCUAAAUCAUACAUCAAAACUAAAUCUUAAUAACACUAAACCCUAAACCCUAAUCACUAAACCCUAAACCCUU